CACCAGGUUGAUUCUGCCUGACGUAGACGCUAUACUCUAAGAUUAACCCAUGCAUGUUUAUUGAAUAUAAAGAAAAGACGAACAGCUCAG
rnacentral:ncRNA from 1 species